AGAAAGUCCCGGAUAGCAGCUGUGAAUGAGCCAUGCUUGCAUGAGCGAGUUCACAGAUAUUAGACGGGCAAGAAGGUAUGAGUAAGAAGGGCGAUAGCCCGGAUUACGAAUACCUUCGACAGCUGUGGGAGCGCUGUAAGCGCGGAACAGCUGACUUUCG
rnacentral:sRNA from 1 species